rnacentral:rRNA from 1 species
GAUGAACGCUGGCGGCGUGCUUAACACAUGCAAGUCGAACGAAGCACUUUAUUUGAUUUCCUUCGGGACUGAUUAUUUUGUGACUGAGUGGCGGACGGGUGAGUAACGCGUGGGUAACCUGCCUUGUACAGGGGGGAUAACAGUUGGAAACGGCUGCUAAUACCGCAUAAGCGCACAGCAUCGCAUGAUGCAGUGUGAAAAACUCCGGUGGUAUAAGAUGGACCCGCGUUGGAUUAGCUAGUUGGUGAGGUAACGGCCCACCAAGGCGACGAUCCAUAGCCGACCUGAGAGGGUGACCGGCCACAUUGGGACUGAGACACGGCCCAAACUCCUACGGGAGGCAGCAGUGGGGAAUAUUGCACAAUGGGCGAAAGCCUGAUGCAGCGACGCCGCGUGAGCGAAGAAGUAUUUCGGUAUGUAAAGCUCUAUCAGCAGGGAAGAUAAUGACGGUACCUGACUAAGAAGCACCGGCUAA